GGUAUGGUACUACGCCAUGCGAGUCGUUGUAGCCUACAAGGUCGGACCGCUCAGUAAUACGUAGUUAACUUACUCUAUGGACUGGGCAUAACCUCGGGCAAACUGACGAAUAAUACCCACAUGGACCACAGCUGCCUGGCACUGGCCUGCUGGUUGACAAUGAUUUAUCGCCUGUACCAUAGGACUGCGGCCUAUCAGCUCUGUUGGUGACGUAAUGGCCCACCAAGGCCUAUAACAGGUACGGGCUCUGAGAGGAGCGGGCCCGGAGAUGGGUACUGAGACACGGACCCAGGCCCUACGGGGCGCAGCAGGCGACAACACCUUUGCAACUGUGCGAAAGCACGACAACGUUAAUCCGACUGUCUCCUGCUACAGGAGUCUCUUGUCAGUUGUACAAUCACUGGUGAAUAA
rnacentral:rRNA from 1 species